rnacentral:rRNA from 1 species
GUCUUUUUGAAAGAAUAUAAAAAGUCUGACCUGCCCAGUGAUUUAUUUUAACGGCCGCGGUAUAUUGACCGUGCAAAGGUAGCAUAAUCAUUAGUCUUUUAAAAGAGGGCUGGAAUGAAAGGUUUGACGAGGUAUUAACUGUCUCAUUUUAUUUGGGUUUAGAAUUUAACUUUUUAGUCAAAAGGCUAAAAUUUAAUUGGUAGACGAGAAGACCCUAUAGAGCUUUAUAUUAAAUGUUUUGAUUUUAUUUAGAUAAUUUUUAAUUAAAGAGUUUAAUAUUUUGUUGGGGUGACAGAAAAAUAAAAUUAACUUUUUUAAUUAUGUAACAUUAAUUUAUGAUUAAUUGAUCCAUUAUUAUUGAUUAAUAGAUUAAGUUACCUUAGGGAUAACAGCGUAAUCCUCCCCCAGAGUUCAUAUUUACGGGUAGGGCUUGCGACCUCGAUGUUGGAUUAAGAUAAUAAUUAGGUGUAGCCGCUUAAUUUAUAGGUCUGUUCGACCUUUAAAUUCUU